rnacentral:rRNA from 1 species
UACGGGGGGGGCAAGCGUUGUUCGGAAUUACUGGGCGUAAAGGGCUCGUAGGCGGCCAACUAAGUCAGACGUGAAAUCCCCAGGCUCAACCUGGGAACUGCGUCUGAUACUGGAUGGCUUGAAUUCGGGAGAGGGAUGCAGAAUUCCAGGUGUAGCGGUGAAAUGCGUAGAUAUCUGGAGGAAUACCGGUGGCGAAGGCGGCAUCCUGGACCGACAUUGACGCUGAGGGGCGAAAGCUAGGGGAGCAAACGGG